rnacentral:tRNA from 1 species
GCCGGGGUAGCUCAGCUGGUUAGAGCACAGGAUUCAUAACCCUGAGGUCGGCAGUUCAAGUCUGCUCCCCGGUACCA